GAUGAACGCUAGCUACAGGCUUAACACAUGCAAGUCGAGGGGAAACGACAUCGAAAGCUUGCUUUUGAUGGGCGUCGACCGGCGCACGGGUGAGUAACGCGUAUCCAACCUGCCCACCACUUGGGGAUAACCUUGCGAAAGUAAGACUAAUACCCAAUGACGUCUCUAGAAGACAUCUGAAAGAGAUUAAAGAUUUAUCGGUGAUGGAUGGGGAUGCGUCUGAUUAGCUUGUUGGCGGGGUAACGGCCCACCAAGGCGACGAUCAGUAGGGGUUCUGAGAGGAAGGUCCCCCACAUUGGAACUGAGACACGGUCCAAACUCCUACGGGAGGCAGCAGUGAGGAAUAUUGGUCAAUGGACGAGAGUCUGAACCAGCCAAGUAGCGUGCAGGAAGACGGCCCUAUGGGUUGUAAACUGCUUUUAUAAGGGAAUAAAGUUAGUCUCGU
rnacentral:rRNA from 1 species